rnacentral:lncRNA from 1 species
UUGUGUCUCUAUUCUGCAGAACUUAGAUAUGUGAUAAAUAGAUUAUAACAUGGCCUUUUCCAUAUUGGCCCUGGUAUCAUCCCUCGACCCAUAUCGGCCCUCGGCUAAAGCCUUGAGGCCGAUAUGGGAGUCUCGGGAUGAUACCAGGGCCAAUAUGGAAAAGGCCAUGUUAUAAUCUAUACUUAUUAGUUUAAGAUUUGAAGCUGUCGUCUUAAUAUAUGGUUGUUCAAAUGGCAAUAAAGAGAUAAUGAAGGUGAAAAUGAGAAAAUGUAGAACUGAAACACAAAGUCUAUCCUGAAGUAGAUUCCCAACACUUACAAAUAAAUCACAAACAAUAUGAAAGAGUUAUCUUUGUAAAAAUCUUUUAAGAUUCACUUCAUUACUAAAGUGUUCUCCUCAGAAAUUUCUUGCAUCAUCCUGGUAAACAGGAAAUCCCAACACUUACAAAUAAAUCACAAACAAUAUGAAAGAGUUAUCUUUGUAAAAAUCUUUUACGAUUCACUUCAUUACUAAAGUGUUCUCCUCAGAAAUUUUUUGCAUCAUCCUGGUAAACAGGAAAUUGUGAAAAACCAUCUUGUUUCCAGAAGCGUCAUAUCCAUACUUCUAUGAAAACUUAUUUCAGACAGCAUCAUAUCCUAGCAAUAUAGCAUCACAUUACCAUGAUGCUAAAUUGACAUUGGGAUAACACUGUAAUAAUUAUUUUAAAGAGAAGAAAUAAAUUAGAAUAUAUUGUUGAAUUUGAAAUCAUAUAAAACAUUACAUAUACUAUUCUUAACAGAUAAACAACUGUUAUGUAAAUAAAAAAAACAUAUUUGAUCAUUUUGUAAUAUAGCACCUUUUUAUCACUUAUUUUCAUUAUGGAUACUACUGAAAAUUCUGGAAAAAAUAUAUAUUCUAUCAGGACUAGUCUUAAAAAAAUACCCCACCUAUAAACGGGAGAUAAAAAGUUUCAUUUACUUUUCUUUUUAUAACUAUCUAAUGUAAUUGCUACACAAAUAUCAAAAAGAAGAGAUACAAAGUAUAAGUCAAUAAGACAAAAUCACAAAUAAAACAAAUAACUGAAGCAUGUGUGGUCUUAUAUUUUAAAAUUGGAAACUCACACCAUUAUAAGGAGUUUAAGACCAAUUAAUACAAAUGCUAAUUUAUCUCAAUGACAAGACUUUUUUUAAACUAAAAAGAUACUUUUCUUCUAAUUUCUCACUACAAAAGGCUUAUAACAUAAAUGUGUAGGUUUAUGAAAUCUUUUGAUAGGAUUAUUCAAAUUUAAAUAUUUUGCUAUUAUCUUUAUAAUGCUUUAGCUUAUGACUGAACAUUGAUUUAGAAUAUUUAAUUUAAACAUUGCUAAGUUAUCAAAUCAAAUCAAAAUCUAAAACAGGAGUAAAUAAUUAUUAGGUAAAAUGUAAAUAUCUUAACAGAAUAAGGGAGACUAAUGUUCCUUUAUUAUAUAUAGAUAACAUACAAGUCUACCUCUCCUCAAAACACAUGGACGCAGAGGACAGCAUGAGAUCUAUUCCCCAAAUAUUAUCGAUACUCAAAAAAACAUAUUUGUUAAAAGACUUCAAUUGUAAAUGAAUUUAAGCUAAUGUUCAGUUAAAUACAUUUGUUCCUUCAACAGUUUUUAGACAUUUUAAAUACAGAAAUGACUAGUAGUUUAUAAUUUUUACACAGAAUGCAAUUGCAAGAAAGUGAUGGAGAUAAAAU